rnacentral:lncRNA from 1 species
AUUGUGAGUAUUUUCUCCGUUCUCUUAACUAAAGACUUGUGGUGUGAUGUAAUUGAUUCUUUUUAUGCAUUCUUAGUAUGAUAUGUAGGACUAAACUUUAAAUUAUACGUUAUUUGUGGUAGAUCAUUUAACCUUGUGAGAAUUUGAGUCUUUUAAUGGAUAACAUUAAAAAAAUCCAUCUUUUCUUUCUUGUGUGUUUCACUCAUGUAUGUUAGGCUCUAGAACUU